UACGUUAGCGACAGAUUUACUGACGAAAUUUUCAUCAGUGUCUUCAUUGUUUACAUAUCUAUUGUAUUUUCGUUGGUUAUUUCAUCAGUAUUGUUAUUUUAUAUUAAAUCUGUCUAUAGUUUAAAUAUUAAGUCUCGAUUUGGAUUUUCCCCCAUUUUUCCCUUUCUCUUUCACUAUUGUCUCUCACUACCCCUUCGCAUCUGAACCACCGUUGCCUAGUUGUCCUUGAUUGAUAGCUGUCCUGUCAGAUUGAAGAGUCCCCAGUGUCAGCUACCUCCAACCCACCUCCGGUCGGCAAUCCGUUUUGCUUCUCCAGAUCGGUCGGCCAUAUUUCCUCUCGCAUUCGACCAUCUCUCUUCUCCCGUUCGACCUUUCAUCCUUCGAUAGCCCAAGUAAGGUUAAAGCUAAUCUAGGAGUGACUAUAGAGGAUGGAAAAUCAAUUCAUUUUUGGCAUGAUGCAUGGUUGGAGGACUUAGUCUUAAAGUUGGAAUUUCCUAGAUGUUUUGCAUUGGCUCAAAAUAAAAAUGGUAGACUCUGCGAGUUUUGACAAUGGAUGGAUGAAGAAUGGCAAUGGCGUAUUGAACUUAAAAGGUUAAAGCUAAUUUGGGAGUUGUCAUAGGUGAUGGGUCAUUAAUCUCAUUUUGGAAUGAUGCGUCAUGCAUGGUUGGAAGAUAUGAUUCUAAAAGUAGAAUUCUCAAGAUUAUUUGCAUUAGCAAUGAAUAAGGAAAGAAGAUUAUGCGAGUAUGGUCAAUGGACAGAUGAUGGUUGGCAAUGGCAAAUCGAACUUAGAAGGUAACUUUUUUGACGGAAAUUCGAGCAUUGAACACUAUUGUGGAGCUAUUUAAAGGAAUGUACAUUGGGUGAGGGAUUCAAGGAUGGAAUCAUAUAGAAAGCUAUGCCUUGUGGUAUGUCUCCUUCCUAGUCAUUUUGUAAAAUUGCUAGCAAUUCGUGAUGAACUCUGGAAAAGAAUAUGGCUUGGUUAUGCUCCAUAUAAAGUUGAAAUAUUUGAACGGCAAUUGAUGUGAGAAAAAAUUGCAGUCAAAAUGGAGUUGGUGAAAAGAAAUUUAAUUAAUGUUGAUCAA